CAUCCUCGUACCUUUUGCAUCAUGAAUUAGUUAGACACCCCAAGCAAAGAGACCUAUAGUUUGUUUCCCCGAAACUAAGUGAGCUACUCCGAGACAGCCUAAUAAUAGGGCGAACCCGUCUCUGUGGCAAAAGAGUGGGAAGAGCUCCGAGUAGAGGUGACAGAUCUACCGAACUUAGUUAUAGCUGGUUGCCUGAGAACUGAAUAUAAGUUCAGCCUCCCGGCUUCUCUACACACCGAGAGCGUAAGUUAAAGGGGGAACAGCUCCUUUAACAUAAGAUACAACUUUAUCAGAAGGAUAAAGAUCAUAAUAAUCAAGGUACCAACUUUUCGUAGGCCUAAAAGCAGCCAUCCUUAUAGAAAGCGUCAAAGCUCAAAUACCCUAUUACGAUAGCCAAUCUAACUCCUCUAAUACUACCAGGCUUUUUCAUGCCCACAUGAAAGUAAUUAUGCUAAUAUGAGUAAUAAGAGAGGCCUCUCUCCCCACACAAGUGUAAAUCGAAACAAACCCCAACCGAAAAUUAAUGGCCCCAAAAAAAGAGGGGAUUGAAUAACUACUAGAAAAACAACCUCCAUUAAUCUUACACCAGCGUGUGAUAAAGGAAAGACUAAACCAAUGAGAAGGAACUCGGCAAACAGGCCUCGCCUGUUUACCAAAAACAUCACCUCCUGCGUAUAUAGGAGGCAUUGCCUGCCCAGUGACACAUGUUUAACGGCCGCGGUAUCCUAACCGUGCAAAGGUAGCGUAAUCACUUGUCUUUUAAUUGAAGACCUGUAUGAAUGGCAUAACGAAGGCUUAACUGUCUCCUCUUUAAAGUCAAUAAAAUUGAUCUCCCCGUGCAGAAGCGGGGAUUACACCAUAAGACGAGAAGACCCUGUGGAGCUUUAGACGCUAAAGCAGCCCACGAACUAACCUUGUCAUAAACAAGUUAUUAACCAGUGAAACCCUGCUUCCCUGUCUUCGGUUGGGGCGACCAGGAGAAACUAAAAAACUCUCCCGAGGAGUAGGAAGAUUCCCAAAACCAAGAGCCACACCUCUAAUAAUUAGAACUUCUAACCAUAAUAGACCCGGAAUACCCGAUCUUCGAACAAAGUUACCCCAGGGAUAACAGCGCAAUCCCCUUUUAGAGCCCGUAUCGACAAGGGGGUUUACGACCUCGAUGUUGGAUCAGGACACCCCAAUGGUGCAG
rnacentral:rRNA from 1 species